UGGAUCCAGAUUUGAUUCUGGCUCAGGAUGAACGCUAGCUACAGGCUUAACACAUGCAAGUCGAGGGGAAACGACAUCGAAAGCUUGCUUUUGAUGGGCGUCGACCGGCGCACGGGUGAGUAACGCGUAUCCAACCUGCCCACCACUUGGGGAUAACCUUGCGAAAGUAAGACUAAUACCCAAUGAUAUCUCUAGAAGACAUCUGAAAGAGAUUAAAGAUUUAUCGGUGAUGGAUGGGGAUGCGUCUGAUUAGCUUGUUGGCGGGGUAACGGCCCACCAAGGCUACGAUCAGUAGGGGUUCUGAGAGGAAGGUCCCCCACAUUGGAACUGAGACACGGUCCAAACUCCUACGGGAGGCAGCAGUGAGGAAUAUUGGUCAAUGGACGAGAGUCUGAACCAGCCAAGUAGCGUGCAGGAUGACGGCCCUAUGGGUUGUAAACUGCUUUUAUAAGGGAAUAAAGUGAGUCUCGUGAGGCUUUUUGCAUGUACCUUAUGAAUAAGGACCGGCUAAUUCCGUGCCAGCAGCCGCGGUAAUACGGAAGGUCCGGGCGUUAUCCGGAUUUAUUGGGUUUAAAGGGAGCGUAGGCCGGAGAUUAAGCGUGUUGUGAAAUGUAGACGCUCAACGUCUGCACUGCAGCGCGAACUGGUUUCCUUGAGUACGCACAAAGUGGGCGGAAUUCGUGGUGUAGCGGUGAAAUGCUUAGAUAUCACGAAGAACUCCGAUUGCGAAGGCAGCUCACUGGAGCGCAACUGACGCUGAAGCUCGAAAGUGCGGGUAUCGAACAGGAUUAGAUACCCUGGUAGUCCGCACGGUAAGCGAUGGAUGCCCGCUGUUGGUCUGAAUAGGUCAGCGGC
rnacentral:rRNA from 1 species